UAGCUCAGACGGUAAAGCGUCUGCCUGCAAUGCAGGAGACCUGGGUUCGAUUCCUGG
rnacentral:tRNA from 1 species